AAUAGAUACCCAGGUAGUCCACGCCGUAAACGAUGUCGACUUGGAGGUUGUUCCCUUGAGGAGUGGCUUCCGGAGCUAACGCGUUAAGUCGACCGCCUGGGGAGUACGGCCGCAAGGUUAAAACUCAAAUGAAUUGACGGGGGCCCGCACAAGCGGUGGAGCAUGUGGUUUAAUUCGAUGCAACGCGAAGAACCUUACCUGGUCUUGACAUCCACAGAAUUCUGCAGAGAUGCGGAAGUGCCUUCGGGAACUGUGAGACAGGUGCUGCAUGGCUGUCGUCAGCUCGUGUUGUGAAAUGUUGGGUUAAGUCCCGCAACGAGCGCAACCCUUAUCCUUUGUUGCCAGCGGUUAGGCCGGGAACUCAAAGGAGACUGCCAGUGAUAAACUGGAGGAAGGUGGGGAUGACGUCAAGUCAUCAUGGCCCUUACGACCAGGGCUACACACGUGCUACAAUGGCAUAUACAAAGAGAAGCGAACCUCGCGAGAGCAAGCGGACCUCAUAAAGUAUGUCGUAGUCCGGAUCGGAGU
rnacentral:rRNA from 1 species